rnacentral:lncRNA from 1 species
UUGUGUGUUUUUUUAUUUUGUUGUUGUGGGUACAUUGAAGAAGGUAUUCAACGCGGCACUCGCAUUACGUUAUGCAUCUCAGGCUCCGUAUCUAAAAACGAUCUGGAAGAAGGCGGAAUAUUAAAGCCGGCUGCAGGCAUUGAGCUGUGGCUGUGGAAUGUGCAAUGAUUGUGUGAAUUGUCAACACAGGUGAAGCUAAGGCUACAGUCUCUCUCUCGAAUGGUCGUUCAAUUCCAGGCGAUGCGCAGGAGGAGGAAACUGACGCAGUGACGAGAUUGCGAGACGAGUCGUUUUUAAUUGCCCCAGAUUCGGUGACUUUGACGGUGAAGAGACGGGGGGCGGAGUGGCAGGCUGGCGGUGGUUGGUGAGGGGUAACUGCACAAGAAUUUUGAGAUGGUUGGAGGUGAGAAUUUUUCUCUUGAUUCUCUGCGUCUUUCACUAUUGCGCAGCCACCCCCACGAGGACAAAACAAUGUGGAAAGCCUCCCCGAAGCAGGCAACGGAAAUUUGAAACUUUGAACCGCCUAAUUCAAAACUUCCACGAAAUUGGAGUUUGAGGAAUAUUAGUGGGAGGCCGCAUGGGUGGGUCUUUGGUGGGGAAUUUGCCAAACUGGGCACACCACGGCGGUGCGUUGAGAUCUGCGCACAUCCCAUGGGGGCAACAAGCGGUUGUGUGUCUUCUUCCGAAUGGGAAACACGCCAUAUUUAACCAACACAAAUCCCUCGACGGGGACUAUAACCAGCUUUCCCUUCUAUUAAAUAUAAAAAACAAAGCGAGUAACUGACACCCUAAGUAAGUGGGUAUAUUCUAUUCACGACGCACUAGGUUUCAGAGUGGGGAGUAAUAGGCACUAGUAGUAAAAAAAUCUUCAAAGGCUUAUUCGAUGUUUGUGGAUUCUUCGAUCGACGACAUGCCCGACACCGACCCAGCAAAGCUCUCUGUCUGGCACUUCGCAACUAAUUGAUUCAAAUCAUUGGCAGUUAACGUAAUGUUUCUUAUAAUACUGAGAGUUAGGUCUUGUCGGGUCUUACAUUGUUGUGUGAAUCCGUUAGUUUUAGACGUCCUUGUUGAACCUACGAAGCUAAUUUCCUUUCAGGUCGUUGCCUAUUAGAACCUACCCAUUUAUCUUAUAAAAAUAUCAAUGAAAUUAGUAACCUUAAAAACACUCAAAGGAGCAAAUCGUACACAGUCAAUGUUAAGAACUUCUGAAACGUUUCACGCUAUGUUGCGUUCUUUGUUUGGUAUUUGUGUUAACC